rnacentral:rRNA from 1 species
UACGUAGGGCGCGAGCGUUAUCCGGAAUUAUUGGGCGUAAAGAGCUCGUAGGCGGCUUGUCACGUCGGGUGUGAAAGCCCGGGGCUUAACCCCGGGUCUGCAUUCGAUACGGGCUAGCUAGAGUGUGGUAGGGGAGACUGGAAUUCCUGGUGUAGCGGUGAAAUGCGCAGAUAUCAGGAGGAACACCGGUGGCGAAGGCGGGUCUCUGGGCCGAUACUGACGCUGAGGAGCGAAAGCGUGGGGAGCGAACAGG